rnacentral:rRNA from 1 species
UGGGGAAUAUUGGGCAAUGGGCGCAAGCCUGACCCAACAACGCCGCGUGAGGGAAGAAGGUCUUCGGAUUGUAAACCUCUGUCCUUGGUGAAAAGUAAGAGAUGGUAGCCAAGGGGGAAGCUCCGGCUAACUACGUGCCAGCAGCCGCGGUAAUACGUAGGGAGCGAGCGUUGUCCGGAAUGAUUGAGCGUAAAGGGCGUGUAGGCGGCCGUUUAAGUCUGGAGUGAAAUUCCUGUUUUUAAGGUAGGAACUGCUUUGGAAACUGGACGGCUUGAGUGCAGGAGAGGUUAUCGGAAUUCCCGGUGUAGCGGUGAAAUGCGUAGAGAUCGGGAGGAACACCAGUGGCGAAGGCGGGUAACUGGACUGCAACUGACGCUAAGGCGCGAAAGUGUGGGGAGCAAACAG